CGACCGUUAGAAGUCCUUCGGGACUUUGAGAGCGGCGUACGGGUGCGUAACACGUGUGCAACCUACCUUUAUCUGGGGAAUAGCCUUUCGAAAGGAAGAUUAACACCCCAUAAUAUAAUGAUUGGCAUCAAUUAUUAUUGAAAACUCCGGUGGAUAGAGAUGGGCACGCGCAAGAUUAGAUAGUUGGUGAGGUAACGGCUCACCAAGUCUGUGAUCUUUAGGGGUCCUGAGAGGGAGAUCCCCCACACUGGUACUGAGACACGGACCAGACUCCUACGGGAGGCAGCAGUGAGGAAUAUUGGACAAUGGGUGAAAGCCUGAUCCAGCCAUCCCGCGUGAAGGAUGACGGUCCUAUGGAUUGUAAACUUCUUUUGUACAGGAAUAAACCUACUCUCGUGAGAGUAGCUGAAGGUACUGUACGAAUAAGCACCGGCUAACUCCGUGCCAGCAGCCGCGGUAAUACGGAGGGUGCAAGCGUUAUCCGGAUUUAUUGGGUUUAAAGGGUCCGUAGGCGGGCCUGUAAGUCAGUGGUGAAAUCUCAUAGCUUAACUAUGAAACUGCCAUUGAUACUGCAGGUCUUGAGUAAAUUUGAAGUGGCUGGAAUAAGUAGUGUAGCGGUGAAAUGCAUAGAUAUUACUUAGAACACCAAUUGCGAAGGCAGGUCACUAAGAUUUAACUGACGCUGAUGGACGAAAGCGUGGGUAGCGAACAGGAUUAGAUACCCUGGUAGUCCACGCCGUAAACGAUGCUAACUCGUUUUUGGAUCUUCGGAUUCAGAGACCAAGCGAAAGUGAUAAGUUAGCCACCUGGGGAGUACGUUCGCAAGAAUGAAACUCAAAGGAAUUGACGGGGGCCCGCACAAGCGGUGGAUUAUGUGGUUUAAUUCGAUGAUACGCGAGGAACCUUACCAAGACUUAAAUGGGAAAUGACAGGUUUGGAAACAGACCCUUCUUCGGACAUUUUUCAAGGUGCUGCAUGGUUGUCGUCAGCUCGUGCCGUGAGGUGUUAGGUUAAGUCCUGCAACGAGCGCAA
rnacentral:rRNA from 1 species